rnacentral:lncRNA from 1 species
AAUAUUACAAAUAUAAUUAUUCAACCACAUACAACUCCAAACAAGACUCUUUCAACCAUUUGAAUAGGGUGAUAACAUUGUUUUUCACUUCUCGUCUUGUAAUGAGUUUUAAACAAAAAAGGGAAAAUAGACUCAAGGGGCUUUCAAACAAGGGAUGAAAUUAUUUCAGAGUUGGCUUUUUGGCUAACUGGCUAAAAAAACAAAAAAAACAAAAACAAAAUUGCAUUUAUCAUAUCAGUGUGCACAAGUAAACAACAACAUCAACAAGAGUCAAUUCAAGUUCUAGAGACUAACAGACAUGAGUGAAUCACGCAAGAAAGAAAGAGAUGGAUUUUUGUAUAUUAUCCAUAUAAGGCUCAAAGCUCACCAGGGUUAAUGAUCUACUGCUAAAGAUAUACAAUUUAGAGUUUAGUCAUACAUAUCAUACUAAAAAUGCACAACAAUUUUUCACAUCACACCACAAAGGACUUUAGUUGCAAGAUAUACUAAGAAAAAAAUACUCAUAAUUGUAACUCAAAAACCAAAGAAAAAAAACAUGCAUUUUUUUUUAAGAAAGCAAACCAAAACCAAAACAGAGAAAAAACAAAGAAAACAAAACAAAUAAAUGGUUCCCUCCCCCACACUUAAAACAUACAUUGUCCUUAAUGAAAGAGCAUAAAUAUAAAAUAAGAGUGAG